GACGAAGGGGGCUAGCGUUGCUCGGAAUUACUGGGCGUAAAGCGAGUGUAGGUGGUUGUCCAAGUUGGAUGUGAAAGCCUUGAGCUCAACUCAAGAAAUGCAUUCAGGACUGGGCGACUAGAGGACCGGAGAGGAUAGUGGAAUUCCCAGUGUAGUGGUGAAAUACGUAGAGAUUGGGAAGAACACCAGUGGCGAAGGCGGCUAUCUGGACGGUUUCUGACACUAAGACUCGAAAGCGUGGGGAGCAAACAGG
rnacentral:rRNA from 1 species